rnacentral:tRNA from 1 species
AGCUUUAUAUUCAAUUAUUGAUUUUAAAUUGCAAAUUUAAAGGUGUAUAUUAUACUAAGGCUU